rnacentral:rRNA from 1 species
ACGCUCGACACCUACGGGAGGCAGCAGUGGGGAAUAUUGCACAAUGGGGGAAACCCUGAUGCAGCGACGCCGCGUGGAGGAAGAAGGUCUUCGGAUUGUAAACUCCUGUUGUUGGGGAAAAAGAGGAUGGUACCCAACAAGGAAGUGACGGCUAACUACGUGCCAGCAGCCACGGUAAUCUGAGCGGGCUGGCAAGGC